rnacentral:rRNA from 1 species
GUCUGCGGCCACGCCACCCUGAACAAGCCCGGUCCAUCUGAUCUCGAAAGCUAAGCGGGGUCGGGCCUGGUUAGUACUUGGAUGGGAGACCACCUAGGAAGUCCAGGUGCUGUAGGCG